rnacentral:rRNA from 1 species
UACGUAGGGCGCAAGCGUUGUCCGGAAUUAUUGGGCGUAAAGAGCUCGUAGGCGGUCUGUCACGUCUGCUGUGAAAACCCGAGGCUCAACCUCGGGCUUGCAGUGGGUACGGGCAGACUAGAGUGCGGUAGGGGAGACUGGAAUUCCUGGUGUAGCGGUAAAAUGCACAGAUAUCAGGAGGAACACCGAUGGCGAAGGCAGGUCUCUGGGCCGCAACUGACGCUGAGGAGCGAAAGCGUGGGUAGCAAACAGGAUUAGAUACCCCCGUA